ACUUUAUCAUGUAUAAAGCCAUACGAUGGACAGCCAGAGGUUGGGGAGGAUGCUAGGUUAUUCUGUUUCUCCUGCCGAGGGCCUGGGAUGCCGGGGGAGGGAGGGGUAAGGAAUUUCUUACAUCUGUUUUGAAGGACAUGUGGGAGAGGAGAGAAGUGGGGAAACACAGCACGCGUGCACAGAUGGGCUCUCUCGCACGUGUGGACACACAGGAGAGCCUCAAACCCUUGCACACUGAUUAGAAACAAAAGUGGCCCUAGCCUGCUCCGGUCAGCUCGCCGCUGCGAAGAGCCCCGGUGUGGGAAGUGAACAGAGAGGUCCUCCAACCUUUGGGACAUCUGAGGACAGAGGAGUGCCACCUGGUGUGGCCCAUCCCCGCCAUCCAUCGCCAGCGCUGAGAUUCUCCCCCAACCGGGGCCCUAGAGGCCUCGCCUCCGGAUUCCUUUCUCUACUGGGUGCUAGUGAACUUGACAUCCAUCACCCACCACCUCUGACCCAACUCCCAAAUUCCCUAAAGAGACGAGCCAAAUACACACACACACCCACACUUGCACACGCGCACGCACACGUCCUGUGUUACCACUGGCAGGGGGACUCCAGUCUCAGGAUUUCAGGGCCUGGGCCUGGGUGAAGUGUGGCCCCAGGACUGCCCCCAGCCCCUCCAAGGAUCCCGAAGAUGGGAGAUGUUGGGACUGGAGCAGCCCUUAGAAAGGGCAGUGACCCACCCCCCACCCCUGCCCCUUGAUCAUCCCGAUCCUGAAGCUGGGAAAAACCAAAGAAGGGGAGAAGACCCAGGAGACAGGGGUGGUGGAUGAACCUCAGUGAGGAGGAGAAAGUGGGGCACAGAUACUGUUUUGGUGACAGAUGCAUCCACAGCCCCAGCCUCUGCCCGGCCCAUCCAAGUGGGACAGAAGAAUGCCCAGUUCCUCUCCCUCCCUCCUGAGAGCCUUUACAAAGGCUCCCUCUUAUAGUCACUCAGCCACCAGACACCAUCCCCAUCCUGCCUGUCUCUGAUACACCCAGGGAUCCCCCAAAACCCUGCCAGGGGAGAGGGACCCUUGUAGUCCUCAAGUAUUUGGAGCUGCUACAGGAGAAGCUCCAAUGAGCAUCAGGAUCAAAGGGCCUUUCCCCAACCUGGGACAAUCACCUGUCCCCAGAUCACCUGGCUGGACGGCUGAAUGAGGGAGCCAGGAUACUGUGGGGCCAGGGCAGUCCACUCCCCCCGGAGCUUGCUCAUCCAGCUCCCCUCCUCCUCAUCUCCCCUCCAGGUCACGUCUCCGUCAUUCCCAUGCCUUCCCCUCCCCUCUGGCUCCAGCCAGGAAGGGCCACAUGGACCCUGCUAGUCCUCUCUCCCUGCUGAUGUCACUGCCUUCCCUGCAGACACCAUACUCAGAGGCCUGGCUGCACGGCAAGAGGCAGGCUGGGCCUGGCGUUGGGGCCUGAGCCUGCCUGAGGUCUGCCUCGCUGCGGCACAAGCCAGCCGGGGCCUCUCUCCUCUCUGGCUCUUUCCUGCCAGCAACUCCCAGGCCCUCUUCCAAUCUCCCAUCCCCAGCCCGUUUUCAAGACUAGAAGGCACUCUCCUGGCUGACAAACAGAUUCAACAAUAAACAACAGCCCAAAACAUGGGGGAAGGGGAGGGGAGAUAAAAGGGUACACAUUUACAAAAUAAUAACAAAAAUGACUAAAAGUGCUUUCUUUUAAAGGAAAUCUUUGGCAAGAAUAUGCUACAGUGUUGUGGUGGUGUGUGUAUGUGUGUGAACGUGUGUGUGUGUGCGCACGCGCGCGUGCGCACGGGCUUAAUCCGUGAGACACGGGAGGGUUACAGUGUCUUCCCAAGCAGUGUCUGAGCCCCAGGUGAGGCCAUGCUGGGGCCUGGGGUACCCAUCCCCAACAUUCCUCUGGACAGGCCAAGCUCUAGGAAAUUGAUCCUUCCUGGGGUCACACACAGCUCAGGCCUGAGUGCGGCGGGAUGGCCGUGCCGGGAGGGCGGCUGCUGGUGGGCGGUGGGAAAGUAAUGCGAAGACUGACCCCAGACGCCCGAAAGGUCCGAGGCUCCGCCUGGCCGUCCAGACCAGGAGGAGAGAGUCCCCGGGGCUGUCCAGUGGGAGAUGAAGAUAUUUACAAAGAAAGUGGGAGGGAACAUCCUUUUUCUGUCUGGGGAGAGCUGGGGUUAGACGGGGCAUGAGAGAGGGGAGAUCAGGGUACGUGGCUUGAAGGCCUCAGAAGGAAGAGCACUUGGGAGGACCUGGUUCACUGAGAACGCGGUUUCAGCCUUUGGGAAGUGGCUGGCGGUGGGGGGGAAUGCAGCUGGUCCCUCAGAUGCUCUCCUUUCCAACUCCCUAAAACACAACAACCGCACAGAUAACAGCUUCUCGGAAGAGAAAAAAAUGCAAGACGCACAGGUCACCCACACCCACCAUGCACACCCAUGUCACACCAGCCCCCCCACCCCCGCCCGGCUCCCACACCCGCUUGGGCCCCAUGGGGCGGCGGGCAGCUCCCCUCUCAUCUCUGCAUCUCUGGGCACUGACAGCCAGGCCCGAGCCUGCCAAAAAUAAGGGAUGUGGAGGGGCUCAAACACGUGCACCCCCCUCCCCUCCCCGCUGAGCCUCAGACAGAGUCUAGGGAAGGCCAAGGCCAGGGUAAGGAGACCCCUGAUUGCUCCAAGGAUAAAGGCUUCGCUUAUGCAUAGAGAGAAGGAUGGGGGUUGGUUUCCACCAGGGAGGCAAUAAAACAAUAUGGGGAAAUAAUAAAUACUUCCUGUCAAUUUACCUAGUCUUUUUUUUUAACCUUUUCUUAUAUUUUAUUAGCUUACAGAUUCUGUCAGUAUGUCUCACAUAUAUAUAUUAUAUAUAUUUAUAUAUCAGUACAAUGCCUCUCUCUAGGGAACCCAGAGGCUUAAGAAGCUACUGAAGGAUGGAGUCCUGGUGGCUUUUUCCAUCCAGCUUAGAGACCUCGGGUGAGGCUCUGGGGCUUCCCAAUUGCCCAGCUGGACUCUUGGCCCUUUGGCCUAAAUAUAUGCCUUCUGCUCAACACCAGCUGGGCCUGGGAAGGAAACUGAGACAGAAGGGGGAGGAAGCAAGGCUUUGGUAUGGUAGGCAGGCCACGUGGGGUACAGGUGGCAGCCCCCACCCCACCCCGAGCUCGGCCCAGCUCCCCUGGGCAGAAGCCCUGCAAAAGUCAGACCUCCAAACCCUUGCAGAAGGAGCACAAGAACUGUGGGUGUCUCCCUGGGACUCGCCAAGCAGGGCUUCUGGAAGCAGGUUCCCAGGAUGAGCCCCAACACGAGAACCCCGCGGGACAGGACAGGACAGGGCAGAGCAGGAAGGCUCGAUCCCCAGCACCCAAAAAGGCGUCAUGCACAUAAGCAGGUCUGAGGAAGGCUGAUCUGGGCACGAAACCCAAAAGGGGACUGAGGGCUGGGAGCUGGUAGGCGCCACCUGCUUGCCCGAGGCUGGGCCACUUGCCUUAGGGAAGGUGCCCAGUGCUCAAAAACAACCCUUCCUCAGGGAUCUCUCCCCCAACGCUAUGGACACGUGUCCUCAUCCCCUCCAACCAAUGCUCCUGCCUCCUGGUGGAGGCAGGUCAGGGGUCACGCUGCAGCGUGACAGCCCCACGCCCGCUAGGGUCUCCAUUGAGGAAAAGGGGGUGGCGGCACCCGAAGCUGUUAAAGCAGGUGCUGGGACCAAGAGACAGUCUGUUACCCAUAAUCCUGGGUGCUGCUGGGGCACAGGGUUUAUCCCCCCUCCCUGCUGCCCUGUCACCCCCAACCCUAACUUCUUUGGACAAGUGUGCACAAGUGCAAACACAGGGGACACAGACAAGUUUACCUGUUUCUAAUUCCAGCUGAGAGGCCAAGAGAAAUCAGUGGGUGAGGAGGUAGGUGUGGCCAUAUAUACACGCCACACCCACACCCACAAAGUGUGCAUCAGCGGCAGAGCAAAGGGGCAGAGCAAAGGGGCCUUAG
rnacentral:lncRNA from 1 species